rnacentral:ncRNA from 2 species
AAUAUGGACUAGGGGUGCUCCUUUUUUGGAGCUGAGAUUAUACCCUUUGAACCUGGACUGGUUAAGACCAGCGUAGGAAAGUUAGUACUUAAAUGA